GGUUAGCGUGAUACAGCUGUGACUUCUGUCAUCCAGUUGGUUGCCAGGGUUAGUGUGGCUGGCUAGGCAUAUGCUCCCUUUCUCCUUCACCACCACAUGUGUGUCUCUCUAAAAGCUGCAUGCUCAGAGAGGACAACCUUUGACAAUCUCCCUCAUAGGAGAAGGUCAUUCUUUGCUUAACAGUAUAUGCUAGCUGUGCUCCCUUGCUAGAAUGUUUGAACAAGCUCCCAAAUUAAUUGUGCUAAUACAAGUUUUAUAACAUCUUACUUUUGAACUAAAAUUAUAAAUAGAUGAUAAAU
ensembl:misc_RNA 7SK 7SK RNA